rnacentral:tRNA from 1 species
UUAAUUGAAGCCAAAGUUUGAGGCCUCUUAUUGUUAAUAAGAUAAAUGAUUUUAUGAAUCCAAUUAAA